GACGUAGGGCGCGAGCGUUGUCCGGAUUUAUUGGGCGUAAAGAGCUCGUAGGCGGCUUGUCGCGUCGAAUGUGAAAACCCGAGGCUCAACCUCGGGCCUGCAGUGGGUACGGGCAGACUAGAGUGCGGUAGGGGAGAUUGGAAUUCCUGGUGUAGCGGUGGAAUGCGCAGAUAUCAGGAGGAACACCGGUGGCGAAGGCGGGUCUCUGGGCCGAUACUGACGCUGAGGAGCGAAAGCGUGGGGAGCGAACAGG
rnacentral:rRNA from 1 species